AAUAUUUUUUAAGCGCCAGAACUCAAUGAGUUGACGAGGACCAGAUUUAUCGAAAUAUUCGGCGGAUGAUCUGGAGGCAUAGUACUGUCUAAAAAGAUAGGUAAAAAAGAUAAGUGAUUGUCUAACAGAUUCUAUCAGGUACUCUCU
rnacentral:ncRNA from 2 species